ensembl:snoRNA SNORA74 Small nucleolar RNA SNORA74
UCCAGCAGCUGUCAAGCUGUCCAGGCUUGUAUGAUGCCUGUGAUGGUGUUACACUGUUGGAAGAGCAAGCACUGUUUUUGUUGAGGUUUGGCUCUAAGCACUGUUUUGGUGUGUUGGGGGCAAGAACCCUUGGGCAGUGUUUUGUGCCUCUGAGAGUGGAAUGUCUCUUCCUGUGGAGUUGCUCCUAGUUUGGGUGCAAACAAU